CUGGGAGCCGGGUGCAGUGUCAAAGGGGACGCGACUGGUUCCAAAGCUCGAGAAGACCAUGGGGUCACUUGGGCUACAUGAGAAAACGCCCCAGUGUGCUGGUUCAUCAUUCCGACUCCUGCCUGUCUCUUCCCGUCCAAGGAACAUGGACCCUAAGUCGUGCAGGUGCGGAUGACCAUGGGCAGAAUUAGGGGCCGUGGCACAAAAGUUCACCGACACGGGAGUUCCACAGAAGGUGCGGUGGAUCUUCGCAAAUCCAGAGACAUGGCAAUGGGACCCAGGGAAUUAGAGCCUCACAGGCGU
rnacentral:lncRNA from 1 species